UAGGGAAUCUUCCGCAAUGGGCGAAAGCCUGACGGAGCAACGCCGCGUGAGUGAUGAAGGUCUUCGGAUCGUAAAACUCUGUUAUUAGGGAAGAACAUAUGUGUAAGUAACUGUGCACAUCUUGACGGUACCUAAUCAGAAAGCCACGGCUAACUACGUGCCAGCAGCCGCGGUAAUACGUAGGUGGCAAGCGUUAUCCGGAAUUAUUGGGCGUAAAGCGCGCGUAGGCGGUUUUUUAAGUCUGAUGUGAAAGCCCACGGCUCAACCGUGGAGGGUCAUUGGAAACUGGAAAACUUGAGUGCAGAAGAGGAAAGUGGAAUUCCAUGUGUAGCGGUGAAAUACGCAGAGAUAUGGAGGAACACCAGUGGCGAAGGCGACUUUCUGGUCUGUAACUGACGCUGAUGUGCGAAAGCGUGGGGAUCAAACAGGAUUAGAUACCCUGGUAGUCCACGCCGUAAACGAUGAGUGCUAAGUGUUAGGGGGUUUCCGCCCCUUAGUGCUGCAGCUAACGCAUUAAGCACUCCGCCUGGGGAGUACGACCGCAAGGUUG
rnacentral:rRNA from 1 species